CCUACGGGGGGCAGCAGUAGGGAAUAUUUCACAAUGGGCGAAAGCCUGAAGGAGCAACGCCGCGUGCAGGAUGAAGGCCUUCGGGUUGUAAACUGCUUUUAUAAGCGAGGAAUAUGAUGGUAACUUAUGAAUAAGGAUCGGCUAAAUCCGUGCCAGCAGCCGCGGUCAUACGUAGGAUCCGAGCAUUAUCCGGAGUGACUGGGGGUAAAGAGUUGCGUAGGUGGCAUACGAAGUAGCUAGGGAAAUCUGUAGGCUCAACCAUUCAGACUAUUAGCUAAACUGUUACGCUCGAGACUGUGAGAGGUAAGUGGAAUUUUUAGUGUAGGAGUGAAAUCCGUAGAUAUUAGGAGGAACACCAAUAGCGUAGGCAGGUUACUGGAACGGUUCUGACACUAAGGCACGAAAGCGUAGGGAGCAAACAGGAUUAGAUACCCGGGUAGUC
rnacentral:rRNA from 1 species